CGGGUGAGUAACACGUAUGCAAUCCACCUGUAACAGGGGGAUAACCCGGAGAAAUCCGGACUAAUACCCCAUAAUAUGGGCGCUCCGCAUGGAGAGUCCAUUAAAGAGAGCAAUCUUGGUUACAGACGAGCAUGCGCUCCAUUAGCCAGUUGGCGGGGUAACGGCCCACCAAGGCGACGAUGGAUAGGGGUUCUGAGAGGAAGGUCCCCCACACUGGAACUGAGACACGGUCCAG
rnacentral:rRNA from 1 species